UUAAGCUACUAAGAGCGUAGGGUGAAUGCCUUGGCAUCAAGAGCCGAUGAAGGACGUGAUAAGCUGCGAAAAGCCACGCGUAGAUGCAAAUAAUCGAUAAAACGUGGAUGUCCGAAUGAGGAAACUCAAUUAGAAGAAGAAGUCUAAUUAUUUAUACAUAAGUAAAGUAGUGUAUAAAGGGGAACGUUGGGAACUGAAACAUCUUAGUACCAACAGGAAAAGAAAGAAAACUCGAUUUCCAGAGUAGUGGCGAGCGAAAUGGAAAGAGCCCAAACCAUAAGAAGUAAUUCUUAUGGGGUAAAGGACUGCAUAAUUGAUUUAAUGAGGAUACAAGAAUUAUCUGGGAAGGUAGACCAAAGAAGGUGAAAGUCCUGUAAGGGAAAUCCAAAUUAACAUGGCAGUAUCCAGAGUAGUGCGAGACACGAGAAAUCUCGUAUGAAUAACGGGGGACCACCCCCGAAGGCUAAAUACUACUUGAUGACCGAUAGUGAAGAAGUACCGUGAGGGAAAGUUGAAAAGAACCCCGGGAGGGGAGUGAAAUAGAACCUGAAACCCUAUGUUUACAAGCAGACAAAGCACGUUAAGGUGCGAUGUCGUACUUUUUGUAGAACGGUCCGGCGAGUUAUUUUAUAUGGCAAGGUUAAGUACUGAAGGUACGAAGCCGAAGGGAAACCGAGUGUUAAUAGCGCGUAAAAGUCAUAUGAAAUAGACCCGAAACCGAGUGACCUAACCAUGUCCAGGAUGAAGCUUGAGUAAAAUCAAGUGGAGGUCCGAACUCAUAGACGUUAAAAAGUCUCGGGAUGAGGUGUGGUUAGCGGAGAAAUUCCAAUCGAACUCGGAGAUAGCUGGUUCUCCUCGAAAUAGUUUUAGGACUAGCCUUGAGAGAAUAAUGCGCGGGGGUAGAGCACUGAAUGAGCUAGGGGUCAAACCUGAUUACCGAACUCUAUCAAACUCCGAAUACCGUGUAGAGGAAACUCAGGAGUCAGACUGCGGGAGCUAAGUUCCGUGGUCAAAAGGGAAAGAGCCCAGAUCGUCAAAUAAGGUCCCAAAGAUAUAGUUAAGUGGAAAACGAUGUGAUUUUGCGUAAACAACCAGGAUGUUGGCUCAGAAGCAGCCACCCAUUUAAAGAGUGCGUAAUAGCUCACUGGUCGAGUGAAGUUGCGCGGAAAAUUACCGGGGCUAAACUAUACACCGAAUUUGCGGAUUUGUUACUUGAAAGAUAGUAAUAAGUGGUAGAGGAGCAUUCUAAGAGGAAGAAGCAUAACUGAAAGGAUAUGUGGACGAAAUAGAAGAGAGAAUGCCGGAAUAAGUAGCGAAAGCAUAGUGAGAAUCUAUGCCAUCGAAAGUCUAAGGUUUCCUGGGGAAGGUUCGUCCGCCCAGGGUAAGUCGGGACCUAAGGAGAGGCCGAAAAGCGUAUCCGAUGGACAGCAGGUAGAGAUUCCUGCACUACGAUAUAUUUAGAAACUAUAACUGACACAGGAAUGGAAGGUAAGCGAGGAAGAGGAAAAACUCGUAUCGAAAGAUAUAGUGAAAAUAAGUAACGAAUUAUCAAGAAAUACACUGGCGAGAAAAGGUUGUAGAAAUUGUAUAUAGUACCCGUACCGCAAACCGACACAGGUAGAUGAGGAGAAGAUCCUAAGAUGAGCGAGAGAAGCAUUGUUAAGGAACUCGGCAAACUGACCCCGUAACUUAGGGAGAAGGGGUGCCAAGGUAAAACUUGGUCGCAGAGAAUAGUCCCAAGCAACUGUUUAACAAAAACAUAGGUUUCUGCUAAAUCGAAAGAUGAAGUAUAGGAGCUGACGCCUGCCCAGUGCUGGAAGGUUAAGGGAAAGAGUUAGGGUUAAACCGAAGCUUAGAACUGAAGCCCCAGUGAACGGCGGCCGUAACUAUAACGGUCCUAAGGUAGCGAAAUUCCUUGUCAGGUAAG
rnacentral:rRNA from 1 species